GACGAACGCUGGCGGCGUGCCUAAUACAUGCCAGUAGAACGCUGAAGAGAGGAGCUUGCUCUUCUUGGAUGAGUUGCGAACGGGUGAGUAACGCGUAGGUAACCUGCCUUGUAGCGGGGGAUAACUAUUGGAAACGAUAGCUAAUACCGCAUAACAAUGGAUGACACAUGUCAUUUAUUUGAAAGGGGCAAUUGCCCCACUACAAGAUGGACCUGCGUUGUAUUAGCUAGUAGGUGAGGUAAUGGCUCACCUAGGCGACGAUACAUAGCCGACCUGAGAGGGUGAUCGGCCACACUGGGACUGAGACACGGCCCAGACUCCUACGGGAGGCAGCAGUAGGGAAUCUUCGGCAAUGGGGGCAACCCUGACCGAGCAACGCCGCGUGAGUGAAGAAGGUUUUCGGAUCGUAAAGCUCUGUUGUAAGUCAAGAACGGGUGUGAGAGUGGAAAGUUCACACUGUGACGGUAGCUUACCAGAAAGGGACGGCUAACUACGUG
rnacentral:rRNA from 1 species